rnacentral:lncRNA from 1 species
AGUUGUAUUCUGCAGUAGUAAUAAUCGGGCUAUUAGCAGCACUUCUUGUCACACAGGUUGAAAAGCAAAAAAACAAGGACAAGGGGCUGUCAUCAUCUACAAAUAAAUCAGUACCAAUCAAUAAUACAAACUACUCCUGUCGUCCCAGAGAAUACUCUGUAUGUAUCGGGGAGAGGCUCGCUGGUUUUCUUUUAGUAAUACUUUGAUUCGUUAGGCUCUAGUUAACAGUUGCUCUAACAUGUAAGAUAUUGCUAUUUCACAAUAAGAUUGUGAGUCCUAAUUAACAACCACUGGGCCUCCAAUCAACCAACCUGUGCCGCUAUGCCUGGUGCUGAUGCCAGGCCAUGAUCAAAAUUGGUUUGGCUGCUUAGAUGCACCUUUAGUAUCUAAGCCUCUACUGCUAAACUGGUAGAGAACUGAAGGAGCCUCAGUCGUGGCGCACCUGAACAAGUGAUCGAGCUCAGUAGCUCAAGGCUGGACGAGCCAGCGAUAUGCUUGGGCCAAAGAUGUGUAUGUCCAUCUACACGUUGCUACCGCCAUCCACCGGAUCUGAUCAACCGAACCAAUUCCAAAUCCAAUAGUAAAUUAAAGACUAGGUUCCGGGUCUCGCGCAGCGCUGGUGGUGGUGUUGCGGUCUGUAAGGCGAUGGCCGGCACAAGCACAUGCCAUCUGAACGAGCUUGGUAAGAGAGUGGACAAUCAAUAAUAAAAACUACUCCUGUCGUCCCAGAGAAUACGCCAUCUGAACGAGCUUGGUAAGAGAGUGUUAAAAGACAUGCAGUUAGACUCGAGUUGUUCAUAUUAUAGCACGCAAAGACAUGAUGCCAUGUGAACGAGCUUGCUAAGCUGAGUGUUAAAAAUACGGGCACCCGGGGCUAGCGCCUAGACUCGAGUAGAUCAUAGUAUUAUACUUGAAUUGGUUCCCACAAGGCCCAGCUUUAUUCGCUUGAAGCUCAAGCUCGUCUCUUGAUGUAUGGUGGCCAUUAGUUAAUUUCUGGGGACGAAUCGAGAGACGAGAGAGACAGACAAUAGGACGGAGACAGCUUUAUUCCACUGGAAGCAAAGAAGCGUGCGUGGACGCAUGUCGGCAACUGGGUUGGUGACCAUGGUGCUGGAGCUAGCUAGGAAGGUGGCGGUGGAAGGAAGCUGGUGCUGGUGGAAAUAAACGCAAACACCUGCAGGGCGCGAGCAGAGCACAUGAGAGCUCCUUGGUGGCAGCUCGUUNACGCAAACACCUGCAGGGCGCGAGCAGAGCACAUGAGAGCUCCUUGGUGGCAGCUCGUUCGAGCAUGGCCUGCACCUGCAGCAGUUCCGUGCGGACGGCCUCGAUGUUGAGACCAAAGUGACUGCUGGCCGCCCAAGCCUCCAGCACACCAUCCGCAACGGGGGCUAGUGCCUUUCCCACCACCCAUUGUGCCGCGCCAAGGGCCGCGUCGGCCAUCGAUCCCCUGAUCGGAUGCAGGGAUGGAGGAUGUUCUGCGCACCUGCACUGGUCCAGGAACCAACAAAAGUUGAUAAAUCUUGGCUGCUGGUAGCUGCAAAUGAAAGGAGAGAUCAGUAGGUAUGUACGUUGACGCGCGCACGAGGUGUCGGUCUGCCGGUGAUGGAAGCCGCUGCCGUCUGCCUAGUCCCAGCUAGCUACAAAAAGGGGGUUGUGUUGAGUCUCUGUCAUUGAGACUUUGGGAGAGAAAGGGAGAGAGAGAGGGGGGGGGGAGGGGGUCUGAUUUUGGUACCUGCUGGUGAUGUGCAGCGGUGGUACGGCUGGUCCUGUCACCGUCGCCGUGGUGACAGGAGAGUGCAAGGUGACUGCACUGCAGGCAGGUGAGGAGGCGACGAGAGCUGCGCUGCUGACUGCAAGGUGGAGCAGCAGGGUCGGGAGUGGGGAGCAGGGGCAGGACGAACGCCGGUGGUGAGAAGAGAUCAAGCUGUGGAGAGCGACAGUGCGAAAGAGAGGGUGAGCUUAGUGAGUGUUUAGCCCUCAAACGGAUCUGAUCUAGUACUCCUACAUCGGAUGCUCACUGUUAUCUAAGUAAUUAACUAUUAACAGUGCACACCGGGGUAGCUGUCAUCAGUUACAAGGCGCUGGCCGGCACAAGCGCACAAGGACAUGCCAUGUGAAGGAGCGUGGUAAGCGAGUGUUAAAAAGACAGCAGUGGGGACUAGCGCCUAGACUCAAGUUGAUCAUAGUAUACUUGAAUCGACAGUAGGCAGCCGCACAAAGGCCAAAAGUAGUUGUGUUCUGAAGUAGUAAUAAUCAGGCUAUUAGCAGCACUUCUUGUCACACAGGUUGAAAAGCAAAAAAACAAGGACAAGGGGCUGUCAUCAUCAACAAAUAAACCAGUACCAAUCAAUACUACAAACUACUCUUGUCAUCCCAGAGAAUACUCUGUAUGUAUUGGGGAGAGGCUCGCUGGUUUUCUUUUAAAGAAAAUACAGUGUGUAUUUUGAUUCGUUAGGCUCUAGUUGACAGUUGCUCUAACAUGUAAGAUAUUGCUAUUUCACAAUAAGAUUGUGAGUCCUAAUUAACAACCACUGGGCCUCCAAUCAACCAACCUAUGCCGCUGUGCUUGGUGCUGAUGCCAGGCCAGGAUCAAAAUUGGUUUGGCUGCUUAGAUGCACCUUUAGUAUCUAAGCCUCUACUGAUAAACUGGUAGAGAACUGAAGGAGCCUCGGUCGUGGCGCACCUGAACAAGUGUCGAGCUCAGUAGCUCAGGUCGGACGAGCCAGCGAUAUGCUUGGGCCAAAGAUGUGCAUGUCCAUCUACACGUUGCUACCGCCGUCCACCGGAUCUGAUCAACCGAACUAAUUGCAAAUCCAAUAGUAAAUUA